rnacentral:rRNA from 1 species
GAUGAACGCUGGCGGCGUGCUUAACACAUGCAAGUCGAACGGUGAACACGGAGCUUGCUCUGUGGGAUCAGUGGCGAACGGGUGAGUAACACGUGAGCAACCUGCCCCUGACUCUGGGAUAAGCGCUGGAAACGGCGUCUAAUACUGGAUAUGUGACGUGACCGCAUGGUCUGCGUUUGGAAAGAUUUUUCGGUUGGGGAUGGGCUCGCGGCCUAUCAGCUUGUUGGUGAGGUAAUGGCUCACCAAGGCGUCGACGGGUAGCCGGCCUGAGAGGGUGACCGGCCACACUGGGAUUGAGACACGGCCCAGACUCCUACGGGAGGCAGCAGUGGGGAAUAUUGCACAAUGGGCGAAAGCCUGAUGCAGCAACGCAGCGUGAGGGAUGACGGCCUUCGGGUUGUAAACCUUUUUUAGCAGGGAAGAAGCGAAAGUGACGGUACCUGCAGAAAAAGCGCCGGCUAACUACGUG